rnacentral:rRNA from 1 species
GACGAACGCUGGCGGCGUGCCUAACACAUGCAAGUCGAGCGGGGACAUUUAACAGAACGGAAGUUUUCGGACGGAAGGGAAGAUAAGUGUUCUAGCGGCGGACGGGUGAGUAAUGCGUGAGCAACCUGUCCUUCACAGGGGGAUAACACCGCGAAAGUUGUACUAAUACCGCAUAAGACCACGGUACCGCAUGGUGCAGGGGUCAAAGGAGGAAUCCGGUGAAGGGUGGGCUCGCGUCCGAUUAGAUAGUUGGUGAGGCAACGGCCCACCAAGUCGAAGAUCGGUAGCCGACCUGAGAGGGUGAUCGGCCACAUUGGGACUGAGACACGGCCCAA